rnacentral:rRNA from 1 species
UACAGAGGGUGCAAGCGUUAUUCGGAAUUAUUGGGCGUAAAGCGCGCGUAGGCGGUUUGGUAAGUCUGAUGUGAAAUCCCCGGACUCAAUUCGGGAAGUGCAUUGGAUACUGCUAGACUGGAGUAUGGGAGAGGAGAGUGGAAUUCCAGGUGUAGAGGUGAAAUUCGUAGAUAUCUGGAGGAACAACAGAGGCGAAGGCGGCUCUCUGGACCAUUACUGACGCUGAGGCGCGAAAGCGUGGGGAGCAAACAGG